UACGUAGGGGGCAAGCGUUGUCCGGAAUCAUUGGGCGUAAAGCGCGUGUAGGCGGCUUCGUAAGUCCGUUGUGAAAGUCCAGGGCUCAACCCUGGAAUGCCGAUGGAUACUGCGGAGCUAGAGUACGGAAGAGGCGAGUGGAAUUCCUGGUGUAGCGGUGAAAUGCGCAGAUAUCAGGAGGAACACCAAUGGCGAAGGCAGCUCGCUGGGACGGUACUGACGCUGAGGCGCGAAAGCGUGGGGAGCAAACAGG
rnacentral:rRNA from 1 species